rnacentral:rRNA from 1 species
UACGAGGGGGGCAAGCGUUGUUCGGAAUUAUUGGGCGUAAAGGGUGCGUAGGCGGCUUGGUAAGUCUCGUGUGAAAUCUACAGGCUCAACUUGUAGUCUGCACGAGAAACUGCCGGGCUUGAGUGUGGGAGAGGUGAGUGGAAUUCCCGGUGUAGCGGUGAAAUGCGUAGAUAUCAUUUGGAACGCCAAUGGUGAAAACAGGUAGCUGGGAGUGUGCUGACACUGAGACACGAAAGCCAGGGGAGCAAACGGG